UUGGGUGGUAACUAGAGUUAGUGACUCAGUUACCCUAGCAUCAGCUAGAGUUGCAUUAAGAGUUACCAUCAGACCAGAGGUUUCGGAUUAGUUGCAAAGUAAAGGUGACACCUAUAGAGUGAGACCGUCUAGUCUUCGGUAUGGAAGUUUGGAUGGUUUUUGCAGAACGAUAGACGUUUUGCUUAGAACUUAGUGAGAAUAGAAUACCUUGUGUGUAUCAGUAUGGA
rnacentral:misc_RNA from 1 species